AGUGAACGCUGGCGGCGUGCCUAAUACAUGCAAGUCGAACGGAGUGGCGCACGGGGGAGUAAUGUAUAGCUAAUCUGCCCUAAAAUAGAGGAAAACAGUUGGAAAAGGCUGGUAAUACUAUAUAGUGUAGGUUGAGGCUAUAUUGUUUCAGCUAGUUGGUGAGGUAAUGGCUCACAAAGGCUAUGACGCAUAACUGGUCGGAGAGGAUGAUCAGUAAAACUGGAACGGAGACACGGUCCAGACUCAUACUGGAGGCAGCAGUAGGGAAUAUUGCUCAAUGGGGGAAACCCUGAAGCAGCAACGCCGCGUGGAGGAUGACACUUUUCGGAGCGUAAACUCCUUUUGUUAGGGAAGCGGUACCUAACGAAUAAGCACCGGCUAACUCCGUGCCAGCAGCCGCGGUAAUUC
rnacentral:rRNA from 1 species